rnacentral:lncRNA from 1 species
GCCAAAGCUUGUCAUCUUCCUUGAAUCUUCAAUCCUUCAACACAAAUCAAGAUGAAAAUCAAACUUAAGCACAUUCUAUUCUAAAGUUCAUCUAUCAAUAAGCUCUAAUCAAAAGAAGUAGAUUUGGUCAAGAUUUAUCAUGAAUUGACAAGGAUAAAUGCCUAAAUUUCUCAUCAAAAUAGGUAAAAUUGGCACUUAUCAACUCCCCCAACUUAGCACUUUGUUUGUCCUCAAACAAAAGGUAAAGACUUAAAUCAAACAAGCAUGACGAAAACUUUUUCAAAGCUCACUUUGCAAGAUCUCACAUGGAUUGAAUCAAUGAUCCAAAAUAGAAACAUGAUGCCCACAAGAAAAUGCAUAACAUUAAUACAACUACUUAUUCAACCUGGAAUUCAAUAGACAUACAAUCAAUUACUCUUGAUCAGGGAAUCACUCAAUCAAGCCAAGAUAUAACAUGUAAAUCAGGCAAGGUCAGUGUUUCGCUCAUGUACAUCACUGAAUCACAGAAGUCAAGAUUGUUACUUGUCUCCACAAUCAUCAAAGCUACAUGUUCAAUCAAGGAUCACUAAGGUCUUUAUAGGGUUGUAAUGAGGCUAGGCUUCAAAGAGUUUGGUUUUUCAGGAUAUGCAAAGAAACUCAACAAGGAAAGAGAGCAAUCACACUUUACUUUCAUGAUAUUCACUCCCCUCAACUUGCUUUAAACUAACUCUCAUUCACCAUUUUCAAUUGAACUUAACCCUUAUCUUUCAUCAAUCUCUUCUUUAUUCUCUUUUUU